rnacentral:ncRNA from 1 species
CAUACAGGUCUGGUCCCAGCCUUCAAAUCAAUUUCUUCUUAGCUUACACAUGCAAGUCUCCGCACACCCGUGAAAACGCCCUUCCACCCACCUAGGAACAAGGAGCCGAUAUCAGGCACAAACCACCCAUGACAUCUAGCCACGCCACACCCACAAGGGACCUCAGCAGUGAUUAACAUUAAAAAUAAACGUCAGUUUGACUUAGCCAAUGAUAAUAGAGCCGGCCAAUCUGGUGCCAGCCGCCGCGGUUACACCACAGGCUCAAAUUGAUUUUAACGCGGCGUAAAGCGUGAUUAAAGAAAAAUAAAAUUCUGGGGUCAAACUUUGACUAAACUGUAAUACGCCUGUCUCUUAGAAGCCCUAUCUCGAAAGAUACCCCAACUCAUCAACUUGAACUCACAACAACUAGAACACAAACUGGGAUUAGAUACCCCACUAUGCCUAGUCGCAAACUUUAACUUACUUCCCCAUCGCCAGGGAACUACGAGCAAAGCUUAAAACCCAAAGGACUUGACGGUACCCCACAUCCUUCUAGAGGAGCCUGUCCUGUAACCGAUACCCCUCGUUCAACCUCACCAUUUUUAGUCUAUCAGCCUGUAUACUUCCGUCGUCAGCCUACCGCGUGAGCGAAUAGUAAGCUUAAUGUCACCCACCAAUACGUCAGGUCAAAGUGCAGCAAAUAAAAUGGCAAGAGAUGGGCUACACUUUCUACUAUAGAAAACACGAAAAACUAUGUGAAACCAUACUUAGAAGGUGGAUUUAGCAGUAAGGGCGGAAUAGAAUACCCCCCUUAACCCGGCACUGGGGUGUGUACACACCGCCCGUCACCCUCUUCAACAAACUUCACCAAGUAUUUAACACCAUCUACUAAAUAGAAGAGGUAAGUCGUAACAUGGUAAGUAUACCGGAAGGUGUGCUUGGAAA